rnacentral:rRNA from 1 species
UACGAAGGGGGCUAGCGUUGCUCGGAAUCACUGGGCGUAAAGCGCACGUAGGCGGAUUGCUAAGUCAGGGGUGAAAUCCUGGAGCUCAACUCCAGAACUGCCUUUGAUACUGGCGACCUUGAGUCCGGGAGAGGUGAGUGGAACUGCGAGUGUAGAGGUGAAAUUCGUAGAUAUUCGCAAGAACACCAGUGGCGAAGGCGGCUCACUGGCCCGGUACUGACGCUGAGGCGCGAAAGCGUGGGGAGCAAACAGGG